GGUAUUGUUUACCUCACGAUAAGCCCCGGAAACUUAUUGUAAAUGUAUGGCAAGGAACGGCUAUACUUGUAAACAACUA
rnacentral:sRNA from 1 species